rnacentral:lncRNA from 1 species
CCUUCAUUGUGAAAGUACCGUAGGUUAUGAGACAAAGUUCCACUGGCUAGCAAAAGACCUUUCCAGAGCUCCAAUUACCGACAUGUGCCUACUACAUAGAGGAUGAUAACAUUUCUCCAUUUUUCAGGUUCCUUCUCAACUUCACUCUUUGAUAAUUCAACCCAUUCUGCAAAUUAGAAGCAACAAAGUUUAAGUUCAUUCCUCUUAGUCCAGAUACGUUAUUGCCCACCAGAUUUGCCCAUGUCUUAUUCUCAGAGCCCUUCACUCGUGGUUCUUCCAGUAUCAACUGCAUCUCUGUCCCUUUUUCAUUUCCUUGUGCCUUAAUUUCAACAUUGGUUGCUCUCCACUCGCAUGUGAUGUACCCAUUGUCUAAGGUAUUGUUUCUGUGUUUUGAUUAUUGCUAAUUUGCAUAAUUCCUGCUGUAAUUGC